rnacentral:rRNA from 1 species
UGCCAGCCGCCGCGGUAAUACGGAGGGUGCAAGCGUUAAUCGGAAUUACUGGGCGUAAAGCGCGUGUAGGCGGUUCGUUAAGUCUGAUGUGAAAGCCCGGGGCUCAACCCCGGAAGUGCAUUGGAAACUGGCGAACUUGAGUACAGGAGAGGAAAGUGGAAUUCCGAGUGUAGGGGUGAAAUCCGUAGAUAUUCGGAGGAACACCAGUGGCGAAGGCGGCUCCCUGGCCAAAGACUGACGCUCAUGUGCGAAAGUGUGGGUAGCGAACAGGAUUAGAUA